GGGGAAUAACAGCCGGAAACGGCUGCUAAUACCGCAUAAUGCAGCGGCUCGACAUCGAGACAGUUGUUAAAGCGGGGGACCGGAGCAAUCCGACCUCGCGCCUUAAGAGGAGCCUGCGGCAGAUUAGCUAGUUGGCAGGGUAAUGGCCUACCAAGGCGACGAUCUGUAACCGGCCUGAGAGGGCGGUCGGUCACACUGACACUGACAUACGGGUCAG
rnacentral:rRNA from 1 species